rnacentral:rRNA from 1 species
AGUGAACGCUGGCGGUAGGCCUAACACAUGCAAGUCGAACGGCAGCACAGUAAGAGCUUGCUCUUACGGGUGGCGAGUGGCGGACGGGUGAGGAAUACAUCGGAAUCUACUUUUUCGUGGGGGAUAACGUAGGGAAACUUACGCUAAUACCGCAUACGACCUACGGGUGAAAGCAGGGGAUCUUCGGACCUUGCGCGAUUGAAUGAGCCGAUGUCGGAUUAGCUAGUUGGAGGGGUAAAGGCCCACCAAGGCGACGAUCCGUAGCUGGUCUGAGAGGAUGAUCAGCCACACUGGAACUGAGACACGGUCCAGACUCCUACGGGAGGCAGCAGUGGGGAAUAUUGGACAGUGGGCGCAAGCCUGAUCCAGACAUACCGCGUGGGUGAAGAAGGCCUUCGGGUUGUAAAGCCCUUUUGUUGGGAAAGAAAAGCAGCAGGUUAAUACCCCGCUGUUCUGACGGUACCCAAAGAAUAAGCACCGGCUAACUUCGU